rnacentral:rRNA from 1 species
UACGAAGGGGGCUAGCGUUGCUCGGAAUCACUGGGCGUAAAGCGCACGUAGGCGGCUUCUUAAGUCAGGGGUGAAAUCCUGGAGCUCAACUCCAGAACUGCCUUUGAUACUGAGGAGCUUGGAGUCCGGGAGAGGUGAGUGGAACUGCGAGUGUAGAGGUGAAAUUCGUAGAUAUUCGGAAGAACACCAGUGGCGAAGGCGGCUCACUGGACUGGUAUUGACGCUGAGGUGCGAAAGCGUGGGGAGCAAACAGG